UAUGGCUAAUACAUGCGCAAAUGCCUCCUUCUCUGGAGGGGCUGUGUUUAUUAGAUACAAAACCAACCCACUUUUGUGGAGUCCUGGUGAUUCAUAGUAACCGAACGGAUCGCAUUUGGCUUCGGCCCGCGAUAGAUCUUUCAAGUUUCUGACCUAUCAGCUUUCGACGGUAGGGUAUUGGCCUACCGUGGCAGUGACGGGUAACGGGGAAUUAGGGUUCGAUUCCGGAGAGGGAGCCUGAGAAACGGCUACCACAUCUAAGGAAGGCAGCAGGCGCGCAAAUUACCCAAUGAAAACAGUUUCGAGGUAGUGACGAGAAAUAACAAUACAGGGCAUUUUUUGCUCUGUAAUUGGAAUGAUGGGAAUGUAAAACCCUUCCAGAGUAACAAUUGGAGGGCAAGUCUGGUGCCAGCAGCCGCGGUAAUUCCAGCUCCAAUAGUGUAUAUUAGAGUUGUUGCAGUUAAAAAGCUCGUAGUUGGAUUUCUGCUGUGGUCAUCCGGUACCGCCCGUACGGGUGCGCACCUGGUUU
rnacentral:rRNA from 1 species